AGAUUUUCAAAUUAGUUAAUCACAAAUUAUAGAAUUUUGAGGUCAUAUACACCAAACUCUUCACCCCUAUCGUCAAUCCCAAUCCACUACCAAUACUUAGUCACAAAUCAACCAUAUAAUUGGUACAAAACCUAAAUAGUUGGUCAUAAACACUCUUCAACCCAUUUGUCCCUGCUACCACCACCAUCGACACAACUGUCACAGCCAGAUCCACCAUCAACCAAAAUUGCAUCUCAAAAUGACUUUCAAAUAGAGACCCGAUGAACUGAUCAACGGCAUCUGUGCUUCUUAUCUUCGUGUACAAUUUUUCAGUGUGGAUUUGUUUGCCACCAACAUUGUCACUUCUUUCUCGCCAAAGCUCUACCGCUGCUCAUUGGUCUCCACUUCUAAAAUGCCAAGCUUCCUAUAGCAACUUAUCGAGCAGCAACGCAAGUUAUGGAAGAAGAGAUUGGGCACUGCGGUGGAGGCGAUUUCGACCGUGGGUAGAGAGAUAGGGAUAAAGUGAGAGAAGAUAGAGAUAGAGAAUAGGUAUAGAAUGAAUUAGGGUUUUGAAAGUUUAAUUAGUUUGGAGAUGUGGUUAUAUAUAUAUUAAAAUAUUAAAUUGUCACUUGAUUUUUGAUCAAAUAUUCUUUUUAUUUAAUUUUUUAAGUGUGAUUUUUUUAAGUACCUUUCUAGUAAAAUUUUCACUUUCCUGGCUUUGAAGUGGAUUUACCAUGAAGGCCCAUAAUUUCAAUAGGUUGCAUUUUGAAUAUGGUUGGAGGCAACGUGUGAUCACAUUACCACAGUUUGAAGAUGGUUGGGCCAAUAUGUUUCUUGUUUACUUCAAUUUUCCUUUUAAAAAUUCAAUCUUCAAAACCCCAUUCUUUAGUCAAUAAAAAGACAUCAUUGUCUAAAAAUUAUCGACAUGACUUUUGCUUUUACUUUUUAUAGAAGAAUUUUUUAAGAAAAUUAUCUAAAUUUUUAUUUAGAAACUAAUUUUUAAAAGAGUUUUUUGUUUUUUUUUAAAGUGCUUUUAAAAGAAGACACAUUGGACAAUAUUCCUCUAAAAGCUCUUAUAACUAGAAAAAACACUUUCAUAAAAUUAGCCAAAUGAAUUCAAAAGCAUCUUGUGAGUAGGGGGUGGAUAUGGGUAUGGACGGGUUGGGUCGAUUUUUGCUCCAACCUAAAUCCAAUUCAAAACUGUUGGUUUGUUCGAAAUCCAACCUAACCAAGCCCAUGUAAACCCUACCCAAUCAUGUGUCAGUCAGGUUGCGUUGGCUUGGUCGGUUCGGGACAAUUUGUCUCAUAAAGAUUAAAAUCAUCCAAUUUUUGGAUCUAAAUUAACAUUAAUAUAGUCAUCCAAUUUCAAUAAACUUAGAAAUUAAAAUAGUACGAUCCACCAAAUAUCCAUUAAAAUAAUUAUCCAAAAAAUUAUUACACGUUUCAAUAAAAUGCCGGGAGAAAACUAUUAGCAAGAGCAGAAAUCUGUUGGUAACUUGAUUGGUCAAAAACUAUGAAGAAAAACUGCACUAAAAUUUGCCAACGAAUUUGAAAUAGAAGGCUUCGCCACCUGCAUAGAUAAAAUUCAAUUGAAAAGCUAAUGAUUUAAUAUCCACAAAACCUAAAAUUUGAGCCAGCCGAUCAUGGGAUCAAUCUUGAACUAUAGGAGACCAUUUCUCAAGAGAUUAAUUGACUUUUUUCAACCACUUUUUUUACUGAUUUUUCUGAAAAUUGAUUAUAAAUAGAGUACAUGGCGGCAACCGAGGCAACCAAGGAAUUAUUGUGGUUGAAAGGGCUUGUCAGGGAACUUGGGAUCAAGUAAGAUGGAAUGAAGCUGUACUUUGAUAGUCAGAGCGCCAUCUUCCUAGCGAAAAAUCAGAUUUAUCAUGCAAGAACCAAGCACAUUAAUGUGAGAUUUUAUAAAAUAAGAGAGUUGGUUACUUCAUGAGAGCUGUUGUUAGAGAAGAUGCAUACCUCAAAGAAUGCAGCAAAUAUGAUGACAAAAUCAAUCACAAUGGAUAGGUUCAAGCAUUGCUUGAACUUGAUUAACAUCUCUAGGUGUUAGAGAGGAUGUGUCCUAACCCAUUGGUCCUAGAUGGUGUGNNNNNNNNNNNNNNNNNNNNNNNNNNNNNNNNNNNNNNNNNNNNNNNNNNNNNNNNNNNNNNNNNNNNNNNNNNNNNNNNNNNNNNNNNNNNNNNNNNNNNNNNNNNNNNNNNNNNNNNNNNNNNNNNNNNNNNNNNNNNGGUUGCACCAUAUGUGACAGAAGAUGGUACGGCCCUGACUAUUUGGAUCUGGACUUUUAGAGCAGAAAGGAGUUGUGAAUCUGAUUUGGGCAUGUUAAAAUUUGGAAACAUGGUUACAAGGACAGUUCCUGCAUUUAGAGUGAUUUGUAUAGUUCCUAUGCACGAAUAUUGAUAUUAUGCAAAUCUUGUGUCAAGCAGUGCAAUUCUUGAAACUGCAGGGAGACCCUUUCUCACAUGGAGGGUAAGAGCAAAUCUUACAGCUCCGAAAUGGAGAGGUGUAUAUCCUUCUAAUAACCAGAUGUUUGGAAGAUGGGAUGAAAUCUCCAGAGUAACAAAUUGUUCUUGUUCUGUGGCAGGAAGGAGGUGUUGAUCAAAUUUUGUAGCUUAUACAAAUUCUUUUACUUGAGUUUUUUGAGGAGAAAUUAGGCUUCAGACAGAUUUGGAGAAAGAUUGUCAUUGUUUCGAGUAGGGUAGAUAUUGAUUUACAAGAGGUAGGUUGGUAGGAUUUAUUUUAUCCGAUUCAUCCAAGUAGGAUAUCUCAUAAAGAUAGUCCAUCUUAGAAGAGGUGGAUUUCCUGAAGGAAGAUGAAGUAGAGAAAGAUAGUCAACGAAGGUGAGAUAGGGUAAGAGUAGUAAUAGGAUGUUGUGAGAGAUUUUCUAAAGUCAUUAGAAAAAUAUGUUCUCACUGGUACCAUUAUACUUAUAUUUUGUCUUAACAGUACAUAUAAACCACCGAGAAAAUGGCUCUGACACCAACUAGAUGAGAUAUGCAAUCUAGCUAAAACAAAUAAUUUUUAUUAAUUUUUAACUACACAUUUAGCCCACAUUUGAUUUAGUUAAAAGUCAAAUUUUUAGUAUAGAAUUUGCUAAAAGUUAAAGAAAUAUAUGGUUGAAAAGUUGAUAAAAAUUGUGAGAUUAUUGAAAUUUGUAGUUAAAAUGGAAAGGAAAACAAUCCCUCGAGGUCUCAUCAAAGAAGAAUUCAAAGAAUUGGAGCCUGUAAUUCAUGCCUACCACAUGUUUGACGAAAUGCCCAACACAUGCACAUCCCUAAUUACGCAGCGCAUUGACGCUCCGGCGGAGGCUGUGUGGCCGUUCAUCCGCCGCUUCGACAAUCCCCAAAGAUAAAAGCACUUUAUCAGGAGCUAUCGCAUGAUUGGCGAAGGUGGAGUUGGCUGCAUCCGCGAGGUGACGGUCUUUUUCGAUCUCCCGACCUCAACCAGCACCGAGAGACUAGAGAUUCUGGAUAAUGAAAAGCAUAUACUGAGUUUUCAAGUUGUGGAUGGAGAGCACAGAUUGAACAAUUAUCGAUUUGUUACAACUGUUAAUGAAUUCAAAAAAGAUGGGAAUGUUUAUACAAUUGUAUUGGAGUCUUAUAUAGUGGAUAUACCAGAAAGAACACAGGAGAGGACACAAAAAUGUUUGUUGAUACAGUUGUGAAGUUGAAUCUCCAGAAGCUUUGGCUUAGAUAGUAUUCGAACAAAUAACAAUUUUUUUUUUUAAUUGAUGUGUGCAACAUUGUUUAGUUAUUGUACAUUUUUCAAAGGCUAAAUAUAUAUACAUUACAUUUUAUUAUAAUUGCACUACAUAUUAAUUCUGUAAAAGGUCCAUUAAUUUACUUGCUAUACUUGUGUCUAACUUUUUUUUCAUCAUUGUUUCAACCUUCCACUAAUAAGUACACUUUAUCACUCGUUACGAUUUUUGUUCAAAACGCCAUUAAGUGGGUGUAGAAGGCUUUUCUAUCUCUCAUAUUCUUAAUAAGAAAAAAAAUAAUAACAAACACAAAAUUGCAACUAAAUAUUCUUAUCCUUUUUGUAAACACGCUAACACGAUUUUUGAAUGAAAACUAUUAUUAAGAAUAAGAUUUGCUAAGUAAUGAAUUGUUAAGAAUAAGAAUAUAAUGAAAAAAGUUAAAGAAAUAAAAUGUGAUGAUGAAUAAAUAUUAUUGAUCUUUAAAGAAAUUAAAUUAUGAAGCGUAUUAGUGAACAUAAUCAUCCUUUUCAAAUUAUAUUUUUUACAGGGGUAUGUAUCAUUUGAUUAAUACUAUAUGUAUAAAUUGAGGAUGAUCAUUAUGUGAGGUUACGUUAAAUUAUAAGAUUGAUGAAGCAAAUCUCAUAUUCAUACAUUUAAUCGACAUCAUCAUCUAACCGCAAAUCACUUGUCACGUGGUUGCAUAUCAUUGUUCUUACCAUUUUUCUCCUAAAUACAUGGGCUCGGUUUGGUUGGCCCAUGAUUCUAGUAAUUUCCAGGCAGGAAAAAUUCAUAUUUCGGGUGUAAAGUAUAUGUCAAUUCAAAACUCAGAAUAUAAGUUUAAAUUUUCAAAUCUUAGGCGAUAGCUAAAUAAUUAAAAAUAUUUUAUUAAUUAAAUAUAUUAAGGUCAUGUUUAUACAAUUAAUGGUCACAAUUACAUACUUAUAGGUCACACUUUAUUUACUGGUUACAUAUUAUUAAAUUAAUUGGCCACAAUUUAUUUUUCAAUCACAAAUUAAAAAUAUGAUAGGUCACAAUAUUUAUUUAUUGGUUACAAAUCACAAUUUUAAUAGAUCACAACUUAUUUAAUGAUCAGAGAUUUUCAAAUUAGUUAAUCACAAAUUAUAGAAUUUUGAGGUCAUAUACACCAAACUCUUCACCCCUAUCGUCAAUCCCAAUCCACUACCAAUACUUAGUCACAAAUCAACCAUAUAAUUGGUACAAAACCUAAAUAGUUGGUCAUAAACACUCUUCAACCCAUUUGUCCCUGCUACCACCACCAUCGACACAACUGUCACAGCCAGAUCCACCAUCAACCAAAAUUGCAUCUCAAAAUGACUUUCAAAUAGAGACCCGAUGAACUGAUCAACGGCAUCUGUGCUUCUUAUCUUCGUGUACAAUUUUUCAGUGUGGAUUUGUUUGCCACCAACAUUGUCACUUCUUUCUCGCCAAAGCUCUACCGCUGCUCAUUGGUCUCCACUUCUAAAAUGCCAAGCUUCCUAUAGCAACUUAUCGAGCAGCAACGCAAGUUAUGGAAGAAGAGAUUGGGCACUGCGGUGGAGGCGAUUUCGACCGUGGGUAGAGAGAUAGGGAUAAAGUGAGAGAAGAUAGAGAUAGAGAAU
rnacentral:lncRNA from 1 species